UCUGGAUUCUGGUUAUGUGGCCUGCAGCACCUAUAAGAACAAGCUCGUACAGUGUGCCUGCAUUCCAGCUUCUUAGACUCUACGCAAGUGGACAGAGUGUCAGUGUUUGGCCACUCUUACAGACACCGACUUCUGUCAACUCACUGCUACUGAUCAGGUACCUCACUCCAGGAACAGAGGGCUGCAAGCCUGUCAUCGUUUCCAGUGUGGCUUUGAAUACUUGGGGUAGCAUCAGAUUUUUCCCACAAAUAUUCAAAGAUUUAUAUGCAGUGAUCGGAUGUGGUGGAGCUUUGUUAACUGUGUGGA